GCAUAUCAAUAAGCGGAGGAAAAGAAACCAACAGGGAUUGCCCUAGUAACGGCGAGUGAAGCGGCAACAGCUCAAAUUUGAAAUCUGGCUCUUUUAGAGUCCGAGUUGUAAUUUGCAGAGGGCGCUUUGGCGUUGGCAGCGGUCCAAGUUCUUUGGAACAGGACGUCACAGAGGGUGAGAAUCCCGUACGUGGUCGCUAGCCUUCGCCGUGUAAAGCCCCUUCGACGAGUCGAGUUGUUUGGGAAUGCAGCUCUAAAUGGGAGGUAAAUUUCUUCUAAAGCUAAAUACUGGCCAGAGACCGAUAGCGCACAAGUAGAGUGAUCGAAAGAUGAAAAGCACUUUGGAAAGAGAGUCAAAUAGCACGUGAAAUUGUUGAAAGGGAAGCGCUUGCAGCCAGACUUACCUGUAGUUGCUUAUCUAGACUUUUGUCUAGUGCACUCUUCUACGGGUAGGCCAGCAUCAGUUUAGGCGGUUGGAUAAAGGUCUCUGUCACGUACCUCCCUUCGGGGUGGCCUUAUAGGGGAGACGUCAUGCAACCAGCCUGGACUGAGGUCCGCGCAUCUGCUAGGAUGCUGGCGUAAUGGCUGUAAGCGGCCCGUCUUGAAACACGGACCAAGGAGUCUAACAUCUAUGCGAGUGUUUGGGUGUCAAGCCCAGACGCGUAAUGAAAGUGAACGGAGGUGGGAACCCUUUGGGUGCACCAUCGACCGAUCCUGAUGUCUUCGGAUGGAUUUGAGUAAGAGCAUGGCUGUUGGGACCCGAAAGAUGGUGAACUAUGCUUGAAUAGGGUGAAGCCAGAGGAAACUCUGGUGGAGGCUCGCAGCGGUUCUGACGUGCAAAUCGAUCGUCAAAUUUGGGCAUAGGGGCGAAAGACUAAUCGAACUAUCUAGUAGCUGGUUCCUGCCGAG
rnacentral:rRNA from 1 species